rnacentral:tRNA from 1 species
CGUCGCGUAGCUCAAUGGAUAGAGCACCUUGCGAAAGGAGUGGUUGCCGCCACCCUUUCAUCUUAAUGCGAGGAGGCUGCGGGUUCAACUCCCGCCGCGACGC